GAUGAACGCUAGCGGCAGGCCUAAUACAUGCAAGUCGAACGAUAUUAUCCAGCUUGCUGGAUAUGAAAGUGGCGCACGGGUGCGUAACGCGUAUGCAACCUACCUUAUUCAGGGGGAUAGCCCGAAGAAAUUCGGAUUAACACCGCAUAAAAUCACAGUUCAGCAUUGGACAAUGAUCAAAUAUUUAUAGGAAUAAGAUGGGCAUGCGUGUCAUUAGCUAGUUGGCGGGGUAACGGCCCACUAAGGCGACGAUGACUAGGGGAUCUGAGAGGAUGGCCCCCCACACUGGUACUGAGACACGGACCAGACUCCUACGGGAGGGACCAGUAAGGAAGAUUGGGCAAUGGAGGGAACUCUGAACCAGCCAUGCCGCGUGCAGGAAGACGGCCCGCUGGGUUGUAAACUGCUUUUAUUCGGGAAUAAACCUAUUUACGUGUAAAUAGCUGAAUGUACCGAAGGAAUAAGGAUCGGCUAACUCCGUGCCAGCCGCCGCCGUAA
rnacentral:rRNA from 1 species